rnacentral:lncRNA from 1 species
UGUAACCAUCAUAGACAUGUUUUUGUGUGCGUGUGUUUGUGCCUUAGGAUCUGGUUUAUUAAGAUGUACGAAUACUGAUUUAAUGACUCUUGGCCAAAAGUAUCACUGGAGACAAACCUUCUGAUUUCAUUGCUCAUAGGCACUAAUACCAUCUAAGAAAAUCUUUUGUUGAUCUUUUUACUUAUAUUUUCUCAGUCAACUACUGUUUCAAACAUUGUCAUUGUGAGAAUCCCUGCUGCUUUUGAAUGGAGCCCAAUUCUGUACAGUAACUUCCUUGUAUGAGAAAAGUUGCCUACACUGUCUCUGAACUUUGGGCUGAGUAAAUCUGUCCCUCUCAUAAAUAUAAAGAGAGGAAAUCCAGGAAGCAAGACCCUCAGAUGACUCUUACAAUUAAUAAAAUGCAGAGACAUAGGCUGUUAAAAUUCAGGAAGGUCCUGCUCUUAGGUUAAAAUAAAGUCAUCUGUUACCCACAGCCCUACCAUACCCUUAGCCAAAUCUGACCUUCAGUUCUAGAUGUAUGUUCUAAUUUUUUUUUAAAAAGGCAACUCAUUAAAACCAUACUAGUUUAUUAAAAUAGCAAGCAAUUAGUGGCUAUCACUUUGGGGAUCAGGAACUCUUUAUUUUAGGUCCAUUGCUCUAGAUUUUGGAACAGUGCUGUCCCUACGUCAGCAAGUAGUCCCUGAAAUGCCCCUGAGGUCAGUAGCAUAAAGAACAAAUAAUGGCCACUGGGAUUGUGAUGUAAUCCAGUAGAGAAACCUGCCAGGGAAUGCAGGAAGGGCUUGGAAAGGUGAAUAACAAGCAAGCAAGCAAGCCUGCUCUUUGCCAAUAGAGCCCUGUGGUGCCCUGGGCAGGAAAAGCCUUCCUGCCAAGCAAAAACUCCUACUGGAAACUUCUGAGAGACCAUCUGUCAUUUGGGCUUCUGUUGUUUCCUAACGAUGCAGAUUUAAUUAAAAGUUGCAUCAAAGAGUGAAGCAAAGCAUUGCUACAGUACUGUUGGAUGGAGAGCCUGCUUUCCUGCUUUGCUUUUCCCCCCACUUUUGCAAAACAUGGAAGGAUGCAUCUGCGUUUGUCAUGAGCUAAGUGUCCAGUCAAAACUUCAGUGGGAAAUGGACUGUGUUCUUUGUACAAUGAGUUCAACGGGAGGGCAGUGUGAAGGUGAUGAUCACGCGUGACCCCAUUUUGAGGGAGUUUGGAAUUCAAGGCAGAGCACAGUAUGAUAAAUCUGAGUGAUAGCACAGAUCAAAAGGAAAGGAAUGGCCGUCUUCCUCCCUGGUGGCUUUCUGAAGAAUCGGGUGUUUACACCCACCACCACCACUCACCCCCUCACACAUACACUAUACUUGUUUGUGGGUGCUGUCAGGAUUGUACACUAUUUUACCCAGAACUUUCUAUCCUAACUGGUUUACUGCAAGUCCAUUAAAAUAUUCCAGUCACUUGUAGUUGCUGAUUCACUACUUGGGGAAUAUCUUAACCCUGGGAAGAAAAGAAUUCACUGACACUAUUUUACAAAUUAGAGUAUUAAAACCUUUGUCCACAGAUUGGCUAGAAAGGUGGGGAGCAGGCAAAAUUACACAACUUAAACAAAUAGGAAUAAUACAAGGAAAAACCAUUAGAGGCAGUUGAAGGGAUUAGAGUAGUCAGCACCAAGAAAUCUACCCAGAAGCUGAAAUGUUAAAAUCUGCAUUUGAAAGAUGCCGCAGUAUCUUCUUAGCCUAGGCAUCAGAUAUCACCAGCUACUGAAAUUAGAGACCUGGUUGGCUGAACUAUAAUAACCUCAAAACAAUGGCCUAGGUUUGGUUACGUC